rnacentral:rRNA from 1 species
GUGCCAGCGCCCGGUAAUACGGAGGGUGCAAGCGUUGUCCGGAAUCACUGGGCGUAAAGGGUGCACAGGCGGGGCAGCAAGUCGGAUGUGAAAGCCCGUGGCUCAACCACGGAAGCGCCUUCGAUACUGCUGCUCUUGAGUCCCGGAGAGGCUGUCGGAAUUCGUGGUGUAGCGGUGAAAUGCGUAGAUAUCACGAGGAACACCAGAGGCGAAAGCGGACAGCUGGACGGGUACUGACGCUCAGGCACGAAAGCGCGGGGAGCAAACAGGAUUAGAAACCCCUGAGUCC